UAAUUAAGGGCGUAUGGGGAAUGCCUAGGCUCUCAGAGGCGAUGAAGGACGUGAUAAGCUGCGAAAAGUUGCGGGGAUCUGCACACAAGAAUUGAUCCGCAAAUAUCCGAAUGGGGCAACCUGGCAUAUUGAAGAUAUGUUAUCCGCAAGGAGGCGAACCCGGAGAACUGAAACAUCUAAGUACCCGGAGGAGAAGAAAACAAAAGUGAUUCCGAUAGUAGCGGCGAGCGAACUUGGAUUAGCCCAAACCAAUAUUGUUACGGCAAUAUUGGGGUUGUAGGACUACGAUAUUCUGUGCUUUAUGAAUUAGAACGCUUUGGAAAGAGCGGCCAUAGACGGUGAUAGCCCGGUAUAAGUAAAGACAGUUACAGAUAGUAGUAUCCUGAGUAGUGCGGGGCACGUGAAACCCUGUAUGAAUUUGGCGGGACCAUCCGUUAAGGCUAAAUACUCCUGAGAGACCGAUAGUGAACCAGUACCGUGAGGGAAAGGCGAAAAGAACCCCUGUGAGGGGAGUGAAAUAGAACCUGAAACCGUGUGCAUACAAGCAGUCGGAGCCC
rnacentral:rRNA from 1 species